UAACACGUGGGUAACCUGCCCAUAAGACUGGGAUAACUCCGGGAAACCGGGGCUAAUACCGGAUAACAUUUUGAACUGCAUGGUUCGAAAUUGAAAGGCGGCUUCGGCUGUCACUUAUGGAUGGACCCGCGUCGCAUUAGCUAGUUGGUGAGGUAACGGCUCACCAAGGCAACGAUGCGUAGCCGACCUGAGAGGGUGAUCGGCCACACUGGGACUGAGACACGGCCCAGACUCCUACGGGAGGCAGCAGUAGGGAAUCUUCCGCAAUGGACGAAAGUCUGACGGAGCAACGCCGCGUGAGUGAUGAAGGCUUUCGGGUCGUAAAACUCUGUUGUUAGGGAAGAACAAGUGCUAGUUGAAUAAGCUGGCACCUUGACGGUACCUAACCAGAAAGCCACGGCUAACUACGUGCCAGCAGCCGCGGUAAUACGUAGGUGGCAAGCGUUAUCCGGAAUUAUUGGGCGUAAAGCGCGCGCAGGUGGUUUCUUAAGUCUGAUGUG
rnacentral:rRNA from 1 species